UACAGAGGUCUCAAGCGUUGUUCGGAUUCAUUGGGCGUAAAGGGUGCGUAGGCGGCGCGGUAAGUCGGGUGUGAAAUCUCGGGGCUUAACUCCGAAACUGCAUUCGAUACUGCCGUGCUUGAGGACUGGAGAGGAGACUGGAAUUUACGGUGUAGCAGUGAAAUGCGUAGAUAUCGUAAGGAAGACCAGUGGCGAAGGCGAGUUCCUGGACAGUUGCUGACACUGAGGCACGAAGGCUAGGGGAGCAAACGGG
rnacentral:rRNA from 1 species